AUUGAACGCUGGCGGCAGGCUUAACACAUGCAAGUCGAGCGAGCGGCGGACGGGUGAGUAAUGUCUGGAAAAGUGCCUGAGGGAGGGGGAAAACUACGGGAAACGGUAGCUAAUACCGCAUACCAUCAGAUGUGCCCAGAUGGGAUUGGCUAGUAGGUGGGGUAAUGGCGCACCUAGGCGACGAUCCCUAGCUGGUCUGAGAGGAUGACCAGCCACACUGGAACUGAGACACGGUCCAGACGCCUACGGGAGGCAGCAGUGGGGAAUAUUGCACAAUGGGCGCAAGCCUGAUGCAGCCAUGCCGCGUGUGUGAAGAAGGCCUUCGGGUUGUAAAGCACUUUCAGCGAGGAGGCGUUACUCGCAGAAGAAGCACCGGCUAACUCCGUGCCAGCAGCCGCGGUAAUAC
rnacentral:rRNA from 1 species